AGACAGCAGAAGAGACUGUCAGCAGACCACCUUGGAGGGGAUGCUUGGAGCUGCCUAACGUGUGAUUCAAAGAUGAAUUCCAUGUGUUUGGAGAAGAAGCCCUAGCCUCAACACAAAGGUUGGCCACAUUCCAGCCAAGGUAGCACGGAGUGAAGGCCCGUGGAGGGAGAGCUGGGCUUUUCUGAACUACUUCAGUACACCUUGCUGUGCCUUGGCCUGCCGUGUUUCAUCCCCAUGGCUGUCCUCAGUGAUGUGCAUGGUCACUGCUCCCUUCACCACUGAGAAGACGGGCACAGGACAGUCAGGGGAUGUGUCCAAGGUCCCACAGCAGGAAGGGCUGGAGCCAGAAUGUGGUCUGAGAGGCUGGAUAUACAAAGAGACAAUGGCAUGACCAUCUGUACAAAUGGAACUAUGGCCCACAACCUGCAGCAGCCAGCCCAGGAAGCCAACCCGUCACCUGCAGCAGCCAGGAUGGAUGCUGGCCUGCCCUCACUGAUACUCAAGUCUAGUUUUAUAUGGCUCCAAACGCCUCCACCAUGAGCUCAAGGCAGUGAGACUGACUGAAAAACCCUCUCUAUUACAGACCACAACAUUGAACCCAACAUCCCCCUAAGUAGGUUGUACUCACAUCAUUGGUCUUAUGGGGAAAUUUUAAGACCUCCCACUUGUAAGGUUUUAUAGCCCUCUAUGGAAUAUUGAAGAAAGAGUAAAAUGCAUCCAAAAAAAAAAAAAAACACUAAACUGGAUAAAUUCUAAGGCCUCUUCAGGUCUUAAGAUGGCCAUUUUCUAGGUCCUCUUGCUGCAGCAGUGAAAUCCACAAACACGGACAAGUCAGUCAGUUACGUGCCUUUCAGAGAAAACUUCUGACUUAGGAAUUCCAGCUAUUUGGCCCAACCCAUAUUAGAUUGUGUUAUAAAGACAUGGUAAAUUACAUCACGAAGGGAAGAGCAGAGGAAACAUAAUAUUCCUUCAAGACCCAUCAGCUCAGAUGUUAGCAGAACACCCCUAAGGAGGAAAACAAGAAAUUUUGGGUUUGAACUUGGUACUUCCCAGCAGCCCUGGGAGUGGGGUCAGAAGCCC
rnacentral:lncRNA from 1 species